ACUGUAGGAUUGAACUUCACAAGGCACCCGCCAGUAUUGUAAUUAUUUUUCUUAGAAAACAAAUGACUAAAUGUAUAAUAUUCAUCAUACUUACACAGUAGACAGUAGUUCUUCUACAGUUCUUGCUAUUAGUACUUUUCUAUGUAAAUCAAUUGUAUUAGUGUCGUGUAAAAAUGAUUGGAUAUCGACUCAAAAACAAAGAUGGAAAACCUGAGUACGGAGAAGAAGAUUCAAAUUUUGAAUUGACCUUUUAUUCAACUUUUGUUUACAAGCCAUAAACGUCACUGGAUUUACUAGGUAAUUAGGUCCUGAUUACAAAGUAUCGUAACUUAAUGUAUAUCUACAUGAGAAAUUUCAAACAUCAAUACUUGUGGGAUCGACUGAAAGCAGAAAGAGUACUUGAGUAUCACAGUGCUUAAUGUCAAUACAAGGAAGCGAUCAUCAUAUUAGUACUUCGCAAAAUGAGUGCUAAGACAUUGGCAAGCUGUGGAGCACGAGAAACAAAAAAACCAAUUUCGGUCAACUGUUGGCUGUUCAGUAAGAUUGUAUAACUGCUCUGAACCUAAUACAAAAAUUAAGGUAUUUUGUUGAAUGAAACGAUAAGUAAUCUCUUACUCUUACUAGUCAACUGUUCGGCAAAGUAAACUAGAGAAGUUUAUUGACAGAUAUUUAAAUGGGUAUUUUGAAAAAAAGUUGAAAAAACGGCCAACAUUACAGCUAGUUUACUGUCUGCAACAACAAACAUUUUACAACUUCAAAUUUUAGUGAUAACGCUGAUGACAAUAUCACCAAGAAGAUUGUAUCCAACUAAAUAAUUUUUCUUGAGAGGAUAAAACUGUUUCCUGUUCUGAUGCAUGGAUGAAAAAGAUAAACGAUUAUAAGCGCCCUUGACCUGCUCGGAGAAUUUUUUUAUACAUUUUUUUUACCAACAUCUGUUAAAACAUGAUUUAUGGAAUCGUUAUUGUCAUAUUGACUGUGGAUUGGUUAAUUUGACGUACGGUGCUGAUUAAUUUACUACCGUUCCAGUUUAUACAGCAUUUGCUGGACAAAGAGCCAUACGAGCUGGAAGUGAGCGACCUGGAUACAAGUAUGAUAAACUAUGUCUUUUAUGACUUAGAAAACAUUUAUUACCAAACAGUGAUGUCACUGUUAUUAUUCAACUACAACAAAUUAUGCAAAGCGUAAAAGAUAUGUGUUUAUUUGUUAAGCACGAUGAAAUAGUUUAAAAUGCCAUUUAAUUUGUGCAAAGGAGACACAAGAAUCAUCCUUAAAUGCAAUGUGUGCAUAAAUCUGUCGGUGCUGAUGAAGAUCUAUUAGUUCUCCCCCGAUCAAUUUUCACCUAUGUUAAUCGAUCGCAUUUGUACGCAGAGAUAAAAUAUGAUAAUUACCGACUGUUAAUUUUAAUUAAUUUACAUUACGACAUUAACAAUUUUGAUGAAUUGUUGUUUUUUUUAAACAUUUAGACAAAUCAUGUUUUUAAAAAAAUGUAUAAAGUAAACUGCUUUAAGACCCAAACUCUUAUUUAACAGAACCUUAUUUCCAUUGUCGCAAUCUAAUAUGAAUGUACAAUUUAUUUUAGGUACUUAUUUGUGUGUUAAAUAUGUUAUUGAAUAUACUGGUAAAAACCAACGUGGUAUACCAAACUUGUUUUACGAUCUGUGUUAAAUUUUCUAUUUUGCUUUAACAACUUUACCUAUCAAGUAAUAUUAAAUUUUUGUCGUGUCGUUUAUGCUAACAAACAAAAUUAUUUUUUUACUGUUGAAGAAUUAUUGUACUUUUGCAUUGUUACCAUCGAUUUAAUAAUGUAUUUAGUUUAUAACAUGUGCCAUUUAAAAUUUAAAGGGGAAUAUAUUCUAAUAAAGCAAAACUAGUUUUAAUGUUAUAGUUGAAUUUAAUACAAUUAAGUAUUUAACUGAUUUUUGAACAGUUCUUAUUACUAGAUACGGCUUUACACUAUUUUUCCACCCCAACAUU